CAGUAGCCGCGGGAAUACAGAGGGUGCGAGCGUUAAUCGGAUUUACUGGGCGUAAAGCGUGCGUAGGCGGCUUUUUAAGUCGGAUGUGAAAUCCCUGAGCUUAACUUAGGAAUUGCAUUCGAUACUGGGAAGCUAGAGUAUGGGAGAGGAUGGUAGAAUUCCAGGUGUAGCGGUGAAAUGCGUAGAGAUCUGGAGGAAUACCGAUGGCGAAGGCAGCCAUCUGGCCUAAUACUGACUCUGAGGUACGAAAGCAUGGGGAGCAAACAGGAUUAGAUACCCCUGUAGUCCCUGUCUCUUAUAC
rnacentral:rRNA from 1 species